CCUACGGGAGGCAGCAGUGGGGAAUAUUGGACAAUGGGCGAAAGCCUGAUCCAGCAAUGCCGCGUGAGUGAUGAAGGCCUUAGGGUUGUAAAGCUCUUUUACCAGGGAUGAUAAUGACAGUACCUGGAGAAUAAGCUCCGGCUAACUCCGUGCCAGCAGCCGCGGUAAUACGGAGGGAGCUAGCGUUGUUCGGAAUUACUGGGCGUAAAGCGUACGUAGGCGGUUAUUCAAGUCAGAGGUGAAAGCCCGGGGCUCAACCCCGGAACUGCCUUUGAAACUAGGUAGCUAGAGUCUUGGAGAGGUUAGUGGAAUUCCGAGUGUAGAGGUGAAAUUCGUAGAUAUUCGGAAGAACACCAGUGGCGAAGGCGACUAACUGGACAAGUACUGACGCUGAGGUACGAAAGCGUGGGGAGCAAACAGGAUUAGAUACCCUGGUAGUCCACGCCGUAAACGAUGAUAACUAGCUGUUCGGGCACUUGGUGCCUGAGUGGCGCAGCUACGACAUUAAGUUAUCCGUCCGUCGGGUAGGUACGGUCGCGAAGAAUUAAAACUUAAAGGUAAAGUUAGUACGGACGUGAGACGNGCCGACGGACGACGACGAGGGAGGUAGG
rnacentral:rRNA from 1 species